AUGGCUAAAGAAAAGUUGUAUGAACAAAGCAUCAAAAUAGUUUCUCAAAAUAGUUCAAAUAUCCUACUAUUUUCUUCCCUAAAUGCCUUGUUACUUCACUAUAAAAACCCUAUUCAUGGACAGAAAAACACACAAGAAAAAUUCAAGGAGAGACACACAAGAAAAACUCAACAAGAGAAAAAAAUAGAAAAAGAUAAGAAGUUUGUUAAAGUUUUAACAGCAAGAACUAGAGCUACAGAAGUUUGA